rnacentral:rRNA from 1 species
MSMRKKCGCCCUUAGAGUUUGAUCCUGGCUCAGAUUGAACGCUGGCGGCGUGCUUAACACAUGCAAGUCGAACGAGAAAGGGACUUCGGUCCUGAGUAGAGUGGCGCACGGGUGAGUAACGCGUAGGUAAUCUACCUCUGCAUCUGGGAUAACACUUCGAAAGGGGUGCUAAUACCGGAUACACUUAUGGAUCGCAAGAUUUAUAAGGAAAGGAGACCUCUCCUUGGAAGUUUCUGUGUAGAGAUGAGCCUGCGUCCCAUUAGCUAGUUGGCAGGGUAAGAGCCUACCAAGGCGCAAUGGGGGCAACCCUGACGCAGCAACGCCGCGUGAGUGAUGAAGGCUUUCGGGUCGUAAAGCUCUGUCAGAGGGGAAGAAAUGAGACUGGCUAAUAUCCAGUUUUCUUGACGGUACCCUCAAAGGAAGCACCGGCUAACUCCGUGCCAGCAGCCGCGGUAAUAC